GGGAGAACAGGAGGUGAACCCAGACAGAAGGGGGACUGUGGAGAGAAAGGAACAGUGAGACAGACAUGGAGAAAUGGUAACAUGCUAGAGAAGGGGAGAGAUGACACCCUAAUGACACCAUGUGUCUUGCCUUGCUGUGAUUCCUGCUACUCACACAGGACAGGAGAUGGAGGUGCUGCUGGUUCCCUCUCCCCUCUCCUACCCUCAUUAAGACGUUAGUGCAAUUUGGCAAAUGUACCGUGACGACAUUCCCUGAGUAAUAUCCUAAUGCUAGCAUUGCACUAUGGGCCGUCUCCAGCAGGCAUGGCUGUGAUUUUACUCCUCCGUCCUCUACCCUGCAUGUGCUGCUAUAACGCUACUGAUGGAUUACUCAGUGAAAGACGCAGGGCGGAUCACAGAUGGGCCCCCUACUCCACAUGGGCCUUAGGCUGAAAGUAGGGUACUGAGAUAAGGGUACAGGGUGGUAUUUGAGAUGCAUGCUUAAUGAUGUAACAUCCCACUGGAUCAAAAUAAGGUGCGCAUUUUGUAAUAUCCACAUUCUUUCACAGUUAUUGCCACGUCCUACUGCUUUGAGCUUGUCUUUUCAUUUGAUAUCCACAAAUACCACACUGGUGGGGACAGGCAGCAGUGGAACGUACCGCACUGGAGAUAUUAGGUACCUCAAACUGUGAUUACGGGAACAACGGCUGUUUUAGUGUCUACACUGCUUCAGUAGAACCCUGAGUCCAUUUGGGACACUGUUGCUGCAGUGAAUAGAAAAACAGAAGGAACUGGUCGGGCAGGGAUACAGACAUCCAGCUGGACACCACUGGCCACAAACAAUGUGCAUGUUUCGACACAACUGUGAGCACUCUCUGUGGCCUGGCACUGGGAGGACACCAGGGGGCUGCCGGUGGUGGAAUACGUGGAGGGAUGGAAUACACACGAUCUACUCAAAGUUGACAUUUAAUUACCCUGCCUUGGUAAAGUAUUCAGGCCCCCUUACACUUUCUCCACAUGCUGUUGUGACACGGAUAUAAUUUACUGUUGAUUCAGUAAAGAAUUGGCAUCAAUCGACAGUCAUCACCCGACAAUUACAUAUAUGUGACGUCCCGCCACGCCCUCUCUCCCCCAUUUGGAGCACAGACACCUGUUUGUCGUUAUCGCCCUCACCUGUGUUCCUGAUCACUGUCCCCG
ensembl:lncRNA